GACGAACGCUGGCGGCGUGCUUAACACAUGCAAGUCGAACGGGAAGGCCCUUCGGGGUACACGAGUGGCGAACGGGUGAGUAACACGUGGGUGAUCUGCCCUGCACUUCGGGAUAAGCCUGGGAAACUGGGUCUAAUACCGGAUAGGACCACUGCCUGCAUGGGUGGUGGUGGAAAGCUUUUGCGGUGUGGGAUGGGCCCGCGGCCUAUCAGCUUGUGGGUGGGGUGAUGGCGUACCAAGGCGACGACGGGUAGCCGGCCUGAGAGGGUGGCCGGCCACACUGGGACGGAGAUACGGCCCAGACUCCUACGGGAGGCAGCAGUGGGGAAUAUUGCACAAUGGGCGCAAGCCUGAUGCAGCGACGCCGCGUGAGGGAUGACGGCCUUCGGGUUGUAAACCUCUUUCAGCACCGACGAAGCGCAAGUGACGGUAGGUGCAGAAGAAGGACCGGCCAACUACGUGCCAGCAGCCGCAGUAA
rnacentral:rRNA from 1 species